GCAUCCUUCCAUGAUGAAGUUAUUUUAACACUUAGUUCCUUGUAUCCUCGAAUACGGGAGCGGAGAAGAUCACAAAUGCAACAACACUCUAAUUUUUUCCUGAGG
rnacentral:snoRNA from 1 species